CUGAAAUAACACAACUAUGAACAUAACCUCAAGCCCCAAUACAACCAAAAUCCUCUUGAACAACCACACAAGCGGCUCAACCCAAGUUCUAACUCCGUAAAUCAUAACCCCAAGCAUCUCAUCCACAACUACCACAACUUCCCAGACACCUCUGCAAUGGCUAAACCAAACCACUGAAAAAGAACAAUUAACAAAACAUUUUACAACCAACACGCCAACCACCGCAAACCAUAACCACAACCAAUACACGUCAACCACCACCACCACAACUACCCCCAUCAAUUAACACCAUUGUAACCACCACCAACAUAUCCACUUCCACCACUACCAACCACCAAACACCGAGGGUUUACUCUAUUCAUCGACACUGUUUAGGUUCAUUAAUGCCAAAUAUCAAGGUUACGACACUUUAUGGGUUCAUUAAUGCCAAAUAUCAAGGUUACGACACUUUAUGGGUUCAUUAAUGCCAAAUAUCAAGGUUAUGACAAAAUAAUUAUUCUUGUCUUCAGUAUUUUCACGUAUGUAUGUUGUAUACUAAUAAUGUUAAAAUUUUAGCCAAGUAGAUGAAUGUUACCGGACACUGCCAUGUUGUUGUGGCUGCUUAGGUGAAGUUGAUGGUCUUCUGUAAUAUUAAAUGACAAGAGGUGGGCAUCUUUAGUGAUAUUUUGUGGAGGUUGGAGGUUUAUCUGUGUGUGUGUGUGUGUGUGUAAAGGGGUGUGUGUAGAGGGGUGUGGUAAGUGUGGAGGUGUAUUGUUACUGUUCUCAUCACCUGUUAUUGUUUAUUAUGGUGCGGAUGAAGUGUUUAUAUAGUGGUUAUGUGUACUGAGUCUGCUUAGAAGGUUGGAACUUUCUCCAUGGUGUGCGAAGGUUAAGUGUGUUUCAAGUGUGUUGGUGUAUUCGUGCUUGGCUAAACAGUGUGACAUGUGAGUGAGGUCGAGACUCGUGUCUAUCUGAGGUAGAGUGUCAUUGUAGAUGUUGAGGUGAUGUUAUAUAGUAGGUAGAGUGUCAUUGUAGAUUUUGAGGUGAUGUUAUAUAGUAGGUAGAGUGUCAUUGUAGAUUUUGAGGUGAUGUUAUAUAGUAGGUGGAGUGUCAUAGUAGAUUUUGAGGUGAUGUUAUAUAGUAGGUGGAGUGUCAUUGUAGAUUUUGAGGUGAUGUUAUAUAGUAGGUGGAGUGUCAUUGUAGAUUUUGAGGUGAUGUUAUAUAGUAGGUGGAGUGUCAUUGUAGAUUUUGAGGUGAUGUUAUAUAGUUUUGUGUAAGACAUUAGUUUAGUGUUUUAUUCUCUUAUACACUGCCAGGUAUACGUUAUAAACUGAAUCCCGGUGAGUAAUGUACCCAAAUAUGUGAAAUAAUCCCUAAAUAAUCAAUAUUAUUAUUAUUAUUAUUAUUAUUAUUAUUAUUACAGUAUGUUAUUCGACUUAGGUGCCUUGUUCCUCCCGUAAUAAAUGGCACAAACCUCCACAUGCUUGCGGAAAUGAAUGUGAUUGAGUGUAGUUGGUUAUGACGUGUGAUGAUGCUGGUGACGUCAAGGAACCGUCAGUGCUCGUCCUGCUUAGCUCGUUAGUGUGUGGAUGUGAUUGCUUGUUCUGUGAAGUAUCAACUCAUUAAUCUUGUAUUUGCUUCUAAAUAAAUUAUUAAAAGAA
rnacentral:lncRNA from 1 species